rnacentral:rRNA from 1 species
GUGGGGAAUCUUGCGCAAUGGGCGAAAGCCUGACGCAGCCAUGCCGCGUGAAUGAUGAAGGUCUUAGGAUUGUAAAAUUCUUUCACCGGGGACGAUAAUGACGGUACCCGGAGAAGAAGCUCCGGCUAACUUCGUGCCAGCAGCCGCGGUAAUACGAUGGGGGCUAGCGUUGCUCGGAAUUACUGGGCGUAAAGGGCGCGUAGGCGGACAGCUUAGUCAGAGGUGAAAGCCCAGGGCUCAACCUUGGAAUUGCCUUUGAUACUGGCUGUCUUGAGUUUGGGAGAGGUGAGUGGAACUCCGAGUGUAGAGGUGAAAUUCGUAGAUAUUCGGAAGAACACCAGUGGCGAAGGCGACUCACUGGCCCAAUACUGACGCUGAGGCGCGAAAGCGUGGGGAGCAAACAGGAUUAGAAACCCUUGUAGUCC